rnacentral:sRNA from 1 species
CUUCGGGACGACCCGAAGAAAUCUAUGACAGCCUGGGAACGGCCCAG